rnacentral:rRNA from 1 species
AUACGUAGGUGGCAAGCGUUGUCCGGAAUUACUGGGUGUAAAGGGAGCGCAGGCGGAACUGCAAGUUGGGUGUUUAAUCUACGGGCUCAACCCGUAUCAGCAUUCAAAACUGUGGUUCUUGAGUAAUGCAGAGGUAGGCGGAAUUCCCGGUGUAGCGGUGGAAUGCGUAGAUAUCGGGAGGAACACCAGUGGCGAAGGCGGCCUACUGGGCAUCAACUGACGCUGAGGCUCGAAAGCAUGGGUAGCAAACAGGAUUAGAUACCCUGGUAGUCCAUGCUGUAAACGAUGAUUACUAGGUGUGGGGAGAUUGACCCUCUCCGUGCCGCAGUUAACACAAUAAGUAAUCCACCUGGGGAGUACGACCGCAAGGUUGAA